CCAAGGAAUAAAGACCAACAGAGGGAAAGAAAUAAACCAGAGAAUGCUGUGGUGUUCCUUGCUAAAUAUACAUGUAGUUAAUGUCCACCAUUUAUUUCGGAAGGCAUCGUCGUCGAAAGCUCGUUGUUUUGUCCCCUCUGAGCUCGCUCGGCCAACGCCAUGGCGUUCUCGCGGCCAUCGUUGAUGGCGAGGGGCGUGCGGCACUCCCGGCUGUUCUCGAACCGGCCUUCGUCGCUGUACACGCUCGCGUUCACGGUGCUCCUGAUGCUGUCUGUGGUCCUCCUCAUUCUCCUCGCCCUCGGCGUCUUCUCCCUUCCCGAAGGCGACGACAUCCACCAUGAUAGAUCCGUUUACGAGACCACAGCGACGUAUCUCAGCGAUGGGAAUGGACUGGGGAAGAGAGGGCCGCAGUGGACGGAGGUCGUCUCGUGGGAGCCCAGAGCGUUCAUCUACCACAAUUUCUUGUCUAAGGAGGAGUGUGAAUUCCUAAUUGAACUGGCAAAGCCUCAUAUGAGAAAGUCGACAGUAGUUGAUAGCACUACUGGUAAAAGCAUAGACAGCAGGGUUCGUACAAGCUCAGGCAUGUUUUUCGGACGAGGACAAAACAAAAUCAUUCAAGACAUUGAAAAAAGGAUAGCAGAUUAUACCUUUAUACCUGUAGAGCAUGGGGAGGGGCUCCAAGUUCUGCAUUAUGGAGUUGGACAGAAAUAUGAACCACACUUUGACUACUUUCUUGAUGAAUUCAACACUAAGAAUGGGGGUCAGCGUAUGGCAACCCUUCUAAUGUAUCUUUCAGAUGUUGAAGAAGGAGGUGAGACAGUAUUCCCUUCUGUCAAGGUCAACAGUAGUUCUUUACCAUCGUACAAUGAGCUAUCUGAGUGUGGGAAGAAAGGUCUUUCUGUUAAACCAAAGAUGGGAGAUGCAUUACUCUUUUGGAGCAUGAAGCCUGAUGCUGUUGUAGACCCAUUAAGUUUGCAUGGUGCAUGUCCUGUGAUUAAAGGAAAUAAGUGGUCAUGUACGAAAUGGAUGCAUAUCCAUAAGUAUGAAGCUUAAUGUAUCUCAUUAUAGUUUGAUUCUUGGGAGUGCAUGCUUUAUUCUAUACAUUUCGAGCUGAAGAUCGUGGAUCACCUAUAAAAGAUUAAGACUGAAAAGCAAUGAAUAAAGGAUAUGCAAAACUGAAGAAUUUUUAGAUAUUCCGCAAAUAAAAUGCACCGAUGUGUUAAGGAGUCGCCUUUCCUAUAUUUAGAGCAUGUGCAUAGAAAACACUCGCGCAUUCCUUCGAAUAAAGUAGGCAACUAUCGCAGUCGAAAAAUAACUCAACAUGACAGCUCAGCAUUUAAAUAGCUAAGGUUUAUCUCCUGGAUCAUUUGGCUUGCAAGCUGUAUCUUUUGGCUGAAGUUUCCAUUCAUCUCACUGCCUAACUGCUUAUGCUUUCCCCUCUCUCUGCACUUCAUCUUUUCCAUCAUAUAGAAUAAACAUGGUUCUUUUCAACCUAUGGUUAAGCUCAUGUGAGACAGUCGUAAAUUUAUUGCUGAUAUUUUAAUUGUGGUCUCAUAUACCCAGCCAUAAAAAGAAUUGAUUUGGGACUGAGAGAUAUAGGAGUGAUAGUUGAGUUGGCUUUUCUUUUUCUUUCUUUCCUUCUUUUUCUUUUUUAACAAAAGGGAUUUUGACUAAUUUUAUGCUGGAUGUUAUACUGUUUUGUAUUAUAGUGACUGAAUUCAUUUGCUAGUCAACAAAUGUGAUGGGAGUAGCGCUUA